rnacentral:rRNA from 1 species
AGAGUUUGAUCAUGGCUCAGAACGAACGUUGGCGGCGUGGAUUAGGCAUGCAAGUCGAGCGAGGAUGGUUCCUGUAGCAAUACAGGGGCCAAGCCGAGCGGCGAAAGGGGCAGUUAUGUGUGGGUAACGUACCUCCCGGUUCGAGAUAGCUACGGGAAACUGUAGGUAAUAUCGAGCGACGUAGUUGGAUCUCCUGGUCCGACUACCAAAGGUCCGCCGCCGGGGGAGCGGCUCACAUGGUAUUAGCUAGUUGGUAGGGUAAUGGCCUACCAAGGCAAAGAUGCCUAGCAGGUGUGAGAGCACGACCUGCGCCACUGGCACUGAGACACUGGCCAGACACCUACGGGUGGCUGCAGUCGAGGAUCUUUGGCAAUGGGCGCAAGCCUGACCAAGCGACGCCGCGUGUGCGAUGAAGGCCUUCGGGUUGUAAAGCACUUUCGGGGGGGAACAACUCAAUGAGUGAUCCCCAAAAGAAGCACGGGCUAAGUUCGUGCCAGCAGCCGCGGUAAGACGAACCGUGCGAACGUUGUUCGGAAUCACUGGGCUUAAAGGGCGCGUAGGUGGUUUGCCAAGUCGGGGUUGAAAUCUUUCGGCUCAACCGGAAAAGUGGCUUCGAUACUGGCAAGCUGGAGGGAGGUAGGGGCGGAUGGAACUUCCGGUGGAGCGGUGAAAUGUGUUGAUAUCGGAAGGAACGCCGGUGGCGAAAGCGAUCCGCUGGACCUCUUCUGACACUGAGGCGCGAAAGCCAGGGGAGCAAACGGGAUUAGAUACCCUAGUAGUCC